rnacentral:rRNA from 1 species
CGCGUAGGCGGCUUUAUAAGUCGGGGGUGAAAGCCUGUGGCUCAACCACAGAAUUGCCUUCGAUACUGUAUGGCUAGAGACCGGAAGAGGUAAGUGGAACUGCGAGUGUAGAGGUGAAAUUCGUAGAUAUUCGCAAGAACACCAGUGGCGAAGGCGGCUUACUGGUCCGGUUCUGACGCUGAGGCGCGAAAGCGUGGGGAGCAAACA